rnacentral:miRNA from 1 species
UGAUUAAGAAGAAACAACUGAU